GCCUCUAUAGCUCAGUGGUAGAGCGCGACACUAGUAUACAACAGUCCGAACUCUCUCCUUUCGAGGAAAGGACAACCGGCUGUACGUAGACUGGGCAAUGUCGAGGCCGUCGGUUCGACUCCGACUGGAGGCA